rnacentral:rRNA from 1 species
GAUGAACGCUGGCGGCGUGCCUAAUACAUGCAGGUCGAGCGAACAGACGAGGAGCUUGCUCCUCUGACGUUAGCGGCGGACGGGUGAGUAACACGUGGAUAACCUACCUAUAAGACUGGGAUAACUUCGGGAAACCGGAGCUAAUACCGGAUAAUAUAUUGAACCGCACGGUUCAAUAGUGAAAGACGGUUUUGCUGUCACUUAUAGAUGGAUCCGCGCCGCAUUAGCUAGUUGGUAAGGUAACGGCUUACCAAGGCAACGAUGCGUAGCCGACCUGAGAGGGUGAUCGGCCACACUGGAACUGAGACACGGUCCAGACUCCUACGGGAGGCAGCAGUAGGGAAUCUUCCGCAAUGGGCGAAAGCCUGACGGAGCAACGCCGCGUGAGUGAUGAAGGUCUUCGGAUCGUAAAACUCUGUUAUUAGGGAAGAACAAAUGUGUAAGUAACUAUGCACGUCUUGACGGUACCUAAUCAGAAAGCCACGGCUAACUACGUG